GUUUGUAACACCCGAAGUCGGUGGGGUAACCCUUAGGGGAGCUAGCCGCCGAAGGUGGGACAGAUGAUUGGGGUGAAGUCGUAACAAGGUAGCCGUAUCGGAAGGUGCGGCUGGAUCACCUCCUUUCUAAGGA
rnacentral:rRNA from 1 species